rnacentral:tmRNA from 1 species
GGGGGCGAAAGGAUUCGACCGGACACGUUGAGGUAUAGGUGGCGUAUUGAGGUUGUCAGGCGGCCUCAUUAAAAACCUGGCAAAAUGAUUUAAAUGCCGAAUAUCCAAUGGCAAUGGCUGCUUAAUUGACAGUCACGUUUCAUUAAUCUUAACCUGCGAGAUUAAUGAAACGACCACGAGCAGGUUAGUUUGAUUCCUUUGCUCAGUGGGAAUUAAAUGAACUCUUAAACAGAGCUUGUUGCUGGAAAUCCUGUCUAUUGGAGUUCUGGAUAACGAGAUCAAAAAAUAGACUACGUACGUAGAAGCCUAUGCUGAAAUGUCUAGGGACGCGGGUUCAAUUCCCGCCGCCUCCACCA